CUUGAAAAAUCGACGUAUUUUAUAAACUAAAUUUAUAUGACUUCCUGUCUCAAGUACUCACAGGUGAAUAUAUUUCACAGUAUUUUCACACUUUUCAUUACUUAUAGCAGUCACCUUAUUUUUAUAGUGAAUAUACACAUGGGUACAUUUUAAAGCACUUUGUCAAAGCAGAGCUGCAACUUGUGAUAGAUUCAACUCAUUCCUCUGCUCCCAGUCUUGCCAAUACACACACACACACAGAUACACAUACAAACACACAGGGUUUUUUGGUUGCCCAAUUUAUUGUUAAGCAAAAAAGGUGCUUUUGCUUAAAAUAUUUUUCCUAGGUUCCAGUUGCUCAAUUAUGUGUUAAAUAGCCAAAACUUAGAAAACAGUAAAACAACAACAAAAAACAAAACCUCCAAAUAACUAGUAAUUGUAUCAAACAGAGCCACCAAAACACUGGCAUGGAUGAUUCUAUAAUGUUGUAUAGUCUGCUUCAUUCACUUGGCUCUAUAUCAUGAAUGUCUUUUCAAGUCAGCAAGUAUUGAAGGUGAAUUAUAGUAACCUUUAGUAUCCUAUUAUGUGUCCUAUUAAAGUUUGUCUGUCCACGACCCUAUUGUUGGGUGUAUAGAUAGCCUCUACUUUUUUCAUUUAUGUACAUUACAUGAUAAGAGAGACACUUUAUUCAUCAUUCCUGAAGUUUCCUUCUAUUACAAUGACUGUCCUGGCAUUUUUCUGGGACAGAGUGAUUUACUUAACAGGUGCGUUGGGGAUGAGGACCUGGGUCUGUGUGGUUGGUUCACAUCUCUUUCUUCUGGGAGCCACACUGUUACCAGUGAGCAGUUACUUGUUUUUAAGAUGCCAGGACAGGAGGACUGUGGCUGGGAAAUUCAGUCUGUCUCAUGCUGGGGCUCAGUGUCAGGCAGUGCAUUGUGACUGCACCUAAGUGUUGUUCUCCAACAGUCACAGUUGAUAUUUUGAUUCUUGUGUAUCUUUGCGUCCUCUUAUGAUUCUUUUCUUUGCAUAAAUUUCACAAUUGGGAUUUUGUGUCAAGUUUGAGUACAGUUGUUGGCCCUCAAUAUCCUCAGAGGAUUGGUUCCAGGACCCCAGGGAUUCCAAAAUCUGUGGAUGCUGAAAUCCCUUAUAUACAAUAGUGUGAUAUUUGCAUAUAAUCUAUUCCCAUCCUCCUGUAUGCUUUAAAUCCUGUACAGGUUACUUAUAAUACCUAAGACAACAUGAAUGCUGUGUGAAUAGUUGUUAAUGCUAUGUUGUUUAGGGAAGAAGAGUUGGUACAUAUUCCUUACAAAUUCAACUGGAAGUAUUUUAAAUCUGCAAUAGGUGGACUCUGCAAAUGCAGAGCCUGUGAAUAUAGAGGGCCAAUUGUAUAUUUUAGGCCUUUUAAUACAAAUUUUUUAUUCUCUAGAAAGUUUGUACCAGUGUUGACUCCUAUAAGCAGAGGAUAGAAUUAUUAUCGUCACAUAAUAUGUUAUAUAUUUUUAUAUUAUAUGUUGUUAUAAAUAUGAAUUAUAUCUAUAUACUAAAUAUAUAAAAUUAUAUAAAACAUAUAUUUUGAACCUGAUUUUACCCAGAGCAAGUAAUAGAAACGGAAGGGGAGUUCUGAACCAUCUGAGAGUUUUCAUAUGAAACAAUUUUGGCCAUUUCAUGUAUAUUUGCUGUACCUACAGGUGUAUGUUUAUAUUAGGUGAUUUGAAAAGGAGCAUUUGGUACUAGAAACACAAAUAGGACGUUUUAAAAAUAUAUCAUGAGAGGCAUUGGGACUGAAUUAGAACAAGAUAUAUUCCAUGAUUUUAUAGUUAUGUCAAAAUGGAUUCUGCUGUCAUUUAUAACUAAAAAGAACCAAUAAAAAAUAAAGAAAAAUAAAGUAAAAACAUAUCAUUUGUAGAAUAGGGAGUGCAUUAUUUAGUUAAUCAAGAAAAUCAGAAUGAUCUCCAAGAAAAGUCAGCUGGACCCUUCCUAUCUCCUCAGGUUUAAGUGAGGGCUGGUGGUCAUUUUAUUGGGAAACGGGACAUUUUGUUUUCAUGAGUCAGGAAUGUUCAGACUCUGGAGAACUUUGCAUCAUUUAUUCCACAGAGUGUUCUUUUGUGUUUUCACCAGAAAUAAGAAUAGCAUAGGUAUCCAUUUUUUUUUUUCUGAAACAAAGUGGAAAAAAUUCACCUAGCCUUUGAAGAUGUUCAGUAGAAACUAAGCUCACCUCCUUCUUAAUACUGAGUGAAAUUGGCUGUGAUGUGCUCGUUGUUGAAGGGAAUAUAGUCAGCAACUCCUGGAAAGAAAAGAAUAAAAUGGGGUCAUCAUGGUGCAUGUAAUCACCCUACUUCCCAAAUGAUCAGCCCAUUAAAUUUAUUUGAGGAAUAAAAUAACCCUAGUGAGAAGUGGGCACUUUGUUAGUCUGGAAGAAAUAUGGAAUUGG
rnacentral:lncRNA from 1 species